rnacentral:rRNA from 1 species
GAUGAACGCUGGCGGCGUGCCUAACACAUGCAGGUCGAACGAAGCGACUCGAAGUUUUCGGACAGAGAGUUGACUGAGUGGCGGACGGGUGAGUAACACGUGGGUAACCUGCCUCAUACAGGGGGAUAACAGUUAGAAAUGACUGCUAAUACCGCAUAAGCGCACAGUACCGCAUGGUACCGUGUGAAAAGCCGAGACGGUAUGAGAUGGACCCGCGUCUGAUUAGCUAGUUGGUGGGGUAACGGCCCACCAAGGCGACGAUCAGUAGCCGACCUGAGAGGGUGACCGGCCACAUUGGGACUGAGACACGGCCCAAACUCCUACGGGAGGCAGCAGUGGGGAAUAUUGCACAAUGGGGGAAACCCUGAUGCAGCGACGCCGCGUGAGUGAAGAAGUAUUUCGGUAUGUAAAGCUCUAUCAGCAGGGAAGAAAAUGACGGUACCUGACUAAGAAGCCCCGGCUAACUACGUG